rnacentral:rRNA from 1 species
GACGAACGCUGGCGGCGUGCUUAACACAUGCAAGUCGAACGCUGAAGCACCAGCUUGCUGGUGCGGAUGAGUGGCGAACGGGUGAGUAAUACGUGAGUAACCUGCCCUUGACUCUGGGAUAAGCCCGGGAAACUGGGUCUAAUACUGGAUGCUACAUGUCACCGCAUGGUGGUGUGUGGAAAGGGUUUACUGGUCUUGGAUGGGCUCACGGCCUAACAGCUUGUUGGUGAGGUAAUGGCUCACCAAGGCGACGACGGGUAGCCGGCCUGAGAGGGUGACCGGCCACACUGGGACUGAGACACGGCCCAGACUCCUACGGGAGGCGGCAGUGGGGAAUAUUGCACAAUGGGCGAAAGCCUGAUGCAGCGACGCCGCGUGAGGGAUGACGGCCUUCGGGUUGUAAACCUCUUUCAGCAGGGAAGAAGCCACAAGUGACGGUACCUGCAGAAGAAGCGCCGGCUAACUACGUGCCAGCAGCCGCCGUAACAC